UACCUACCUACGUAAUUACGUAGUAAGUAGCUCAGAUUAUUUUCUUUAGUUUAGCAUUUCAAAAACAUUAUUGUUUUUUUUUUUGUUAUUGUCUGUAUGCUUAGUAUGUGCUUAAAAGUUUUUCCAUUGUUUUAUGUUUUUUUAAGCAGAGAGAGUCGCGGAUAACAGAUAUACUUAAUAUGUAAAAAAGUAACACACAAUUAAAACUUUACAACUGAUAUAUGAGCUGUCGGUCAAAAUGAAGAGAAAGUAGAAUUUCAAACAUAGAGAUUUUUUAAUAAUUUUCCAGCUUAAAAGAAAAAACUAUGAUUAUGUUAAAUAUUCUCUUUUCGAAUUUGAAAUAUCGUUCUCCCACAUCUUAGUAGUUAUACAAAGCAGGGGAUUGUAGUCGUACUUAUUUUUUAAAUCUGAUGAAGCCACGAUGUCGAAAAUUGAAAUUCAAAGAUUUCAAAUCUAUAAUUAUGUUAGUUGGUUACACCUAUUUUACAUGCGUACGUAUUGUAUCAAUGUAUUGAAAAUUAAACGAACAUCGCCAGGGCGACAGCGUUGUAUGUAUAAAAUAUCAUAUAAUUGACGCUGCUGAUGACGCGGAACGAGCACCUGGCAGGAAAAAUGGAAUGGCAUUGCUAUUCUAAUAUCGGGGCAAUCAUAGCAUAGAUGACUUGUUCCUGUCUAGAGAGGUCAGUUCCUUAGAAGUUUAUGUCUACAUUAUGAAAAACUGGGACAAAGCCUUCACUUUAAGAUAUUAAUUAAGUUUUCUUAAAAUGUUUGUCACUGGAAUUUGAUUUUAACAAGACUUAUUGUGAAACUCGCAGCUUGAAACAAAACUUUUGUAAUAAUAAAAUCAUAUAAUAUAUUUUUAAUUAACUGUCA